AGGGACUGUCAUGAUUUUAAGUGUUUUUCAAAAAUAUAGAAUUUCGGUUUCAGUUUUUAAAAAUAAAAUAUUAAGGGUUUCGGUCUUGUGUUUUUAAAAAGUUUCGGUCUUUUAACUAGGCCCAUUUAACUUAUAACAGAGUAGUAUACAAUAGUUUAGAAUACAAUAUGUUUGUAUUUCAAUAUUUUCAAUAUAAUAUAUUAGUUUCUUUUGAUUAUAAUACAUAGGCACAACGUAGUUGGGUUUCAUUAACAAAACUCAGUGCGUUAAGCACCGUAAGAAUAAUUCAAUUAUAAUACUGAUAUCGGUGGAUGUUUAAAUUAAAUACUAAAAGAACUCAAUUCACAAUACAAAACAUUAACUCACGGAUUGCACGAGGAAUGCGAUCGCUUGAAGUCAGUACAUUCACAAGACUACAAGAGGAUGGAUUAGGGAGUUGUUUAUUACAGUUGGAUAGAUCUACGAUUUCAUAUAAAGUAUUAUUACUAUUUGUUUAAAAUAUU